AUGAAGCUCACAACAAAGUUCUACUGCCCUUAUCGUAUAUUGGAAAAGAUUGGCCGUGUGGCUUACAAACUCCAACUUCCAGUGAAUGUGGGCAUCCAUCAUGUGUUCCACGUGAGCCAGUUGAAAAAGCACCUUGGCUCUCAUGCAAUACCCAGCCCAGAUCUUCCCCUUGUGGGCACAGAUGGCAAGAUCAAAACCAAUCCUUUGGAUGUCCUGGAAACUCGAUCGUUGCCCUGGAAUGGCGUUCUGGUCACACAAUGGCUGGUCGAGUGGGAGAACCUCAAGCCAGAAGAUGCAACUUGGGACGAUGCCAACUUCAUGAAGCAAGUUUUCCCAGCCUUCUUUGCCAACACCAUCAAGAGUUGGUUCCCAGAUCGGAACACUUGA
rnacentral:rRNA from 1 species